UAAUUGAUCAUGGCUCAGAUUGCCCCGGNGGGUAACAGGCCUAACACAUGCAAGUCGAGCGGAUGACGGGAGACUUGCUACCUUGAUAUCAGCGGCGGACGGGUGCAGUAAUGCCUAGAGAAUCUGCCUGGUAGUUGGGGGACAACGUUUCGAAAGGAACGCUAAUACCGCAUACGUCCUACGGGAGAAAGCAGGGGACCUUCGGGCCUUGCGCUAUCAGAUGAGACCUAGGUCGGAUUAGCUAGUAUGGUGAGGUAAUGGCUACACCAAGGCGACGAUCCGUAACUGGUCUAGAGAGGAUGAUCAGUNCACACUGGAACUGAGACACGGNNCCAGACUCCUACGGGAGGCAG
rnacentral:rRNA from 1 species